rnacentral:rRNA from 1 species
UACGGAGGGGGCUAGCGUUGUUCGGAAUUACUGGGCGUAAAGCGCACGUAGGCGGCUUUGUAAGUUAGAGGUGAAAGCCUGGUGCUCAACACCAGAACUGCCUUUAAGACUGCAUGCUUGAAUCGCGGAGAGGUGAGUGGAAUUCCGAGUGUAGAGGUGAAAUUCGUAGAUAUUCGGAAGAACACCAGUGGCGAAGGCGGCUCACUGGACGCGUAUUGACGCUGAGGUGCGAAAGCGUGGGGAGCAAACAGGG